rnacentral:rRNA from 1 species
GGCCAGACUCCUACGGGAGGCAGCAGUGGGGAAUAUUGGGCAAUGGGCGCAAGCCUGACCCAGCAACGCCGCGUGAAGGAAGAAGGCUUUCGGGUUGUAAACUUCUUUUAAGGGGGAAGAGGAGAAGACGGUACCCCUUGAAUAAGCCACGGCUAACUACGUGCCAGCAGCCGCGGUAAUACGUAGGUGGCAAGCGUUGUCCGGAUUUACUGGGUGUAAAGGGCGUGCAGCCGGGCCGACAAGUCAGAUGUGAAAUCCGCGGGCUUAACCCGCGAACUGCAUUUGAAACUGUUGGUCUUGAGUAUCGGAGAGGCAGGCGGAAUUCCUAGUGUAGCGGUGAAAUGCGUAGAUAUUAGGAGGAACACCAGUGGCGAAGGCGGCCUGCUGGACGACAACUGACGGUGAGGCGCGAAAGCGUGGGGAGCAAACAGGAUUAGAUACCCUCGUA